rnacentral:misc_RNA from 1 species
GAUGAAGAACGUAGCGAAAUGCGAUAAGUAAUGUGAAUUGCAGAAUUCAGUGAAUCAUCGAAUCUUUGAACGCACAUUGCGCCCCUUGGUAUUCCGAGGGGCAUGCCUGUUCGAGCGUCAUAUUAACCACUCCCGCUUGCGGGGUCUUGGGCUUCGCCUCCGGGCGGGCCUUAAAAUCAGUGGCGGUGCCGUCGGGCUCUACGCGUAGUAAAUUUUCUCGCGAUAGGGUCCCGGUGGAUGCUUGCCAACAACCCCCAACUUCUUAAGGUUGACCUCGGAUCAUGUAGGGAUACCCGCUGAACUUAAGCAUAUCAAUAAGCGGAGGA